CUUCCCUACCGUGACUUUUUCUCAUCAAGAAGACGGAUUACGAAUCGCUAUUUUCCUCAGCAUUACACAGAGGCAGCUCUUGGAGGCUCCACCAGAUGUGAUUUCAAAAUACCUUACAACUUCGAUGACUGUAAUGGCUAAAAAAAUUCUCAGAUUUCAAAAAUUCGUUUUUCGUUAAAUCUUAUCCCAAAGAAACGCGAAAUUGAAUUAUUACAAAGAUACACGUAACUGAUUGCAAAUUGGUUCCAGUUAUCUCGAGACUAUCAGAGUACUAAUCUUCGACUGCGAUGACUAACAAUGAGCUAGACGUACGUCGCGGUUGUCGGAAGAACAUUGACUCAGCGUCGAGACACGUACGUUGCGAGCCAUUCGAAAUUCCACGAAUAUUCCUCGCCGCGUCGUAAAAGCCGCCAAACACGCUCAAUAUUUUUCACCUUACCCUCUCGCCCCCUGAUACUCGUGCAUCUUUACCGCCACGUGAUCGCGGACUUUCCCUCUCCAUCAUCGGUUACGGGUUUAGAAUAACCCAAAGCUCCGCGGUUCGGACCAUUCGUGAGUUCGAUCCCGAGUUGUUCGCGUCUCCUUUCUUCACGGAAACUUCCUUUGGGAACCGACUGGCUAAGAGAAACCGACGCGCAACUUUGAGUAAUGGAGGUCGCUAAAGUGAACGAAAACGCUGGUAGCCUUGUCGAGCAGUCGAUGAACAUAACGGCGGAAUCAAAAUCCGUCUCCACCAUGAAAUCCAUGGAGAGCGUGCAGACCAAGUCCGUCAUCGAGUCGUCGACAUCCAUCAAGUCCGUGACCUCGUCGUCGACGAGGGCGCAGCAGUCCAUGGAGUACGAGGAAACGAUCGAGUACAGCGACUAGAUCCAUUAUCGUCACACCAAAUCACAAUUAAAAAACAACAAACGGAUACCCUUUUGAUGUCGUGCCACGCAGGGGAGAGUUGACACGCGGUAUUUUUGACUCAGCUCCAGCUUCGAUCCACGUACAAUAUUAGUGCGUUCUCCCGAUCUGUUCCAACAUUUCCAUGUGAAAAAUUCGAAAAUGAAAUAUCCGAUGGAAGACACUCGAGAAGCUAGUCGCGUUCUUGUCGACUGCGUCACGCCAGCAUGGUUCUAUCGAAACGAGAUUCAAAGGAAAUACGGCUAAUGCCAGGCAGAGAAUCUUUCCUCGUGUCUUGCAUGUUGAUCUUGGAUCGAGUCAGGAAGAACGUGCGACCGUGCUACGGAAGCGGUAGAGAACAGAAGAAAGAGUACACGAGUCGAGUCGAAUAGCUGAUCAACGAGUCAAAGCGUUCACGGCCUUUCGAAGUGGCUUUCAAAAAUAACCACUGUCUUUUACACCGCAUACCUGAUAAUGAAAAUAAGAAAAAUAAGAAAAUGAAGGAACGUUUGGAAGCCUCGACCAUGAGCUCUGGCUCUCCUCCAAUCGGCGCUGUUCCCCGCCAAAUAGCAAUUCGCCCUUUCCUUUUCUUCCUCUAAGGAUCGUCCCUGAUCGUAUCACCGAUCCUCCUUUAAAUACGCAAGCCUCUCCAUCAUUGUCACGACUUGAUCCCACAUUUCGUUGCAAACAUUCGAUUAUCUUUGUAUAAUAAAGUUUCUAAGAUAUUGUU